rnacentral:rRNA from 1 species
GGGAUAACUUCGAAGGAAACGUGGGGCUAAGUACCGGAUAGGAGCUCCUGCUGCAUGGUGGGGGUUGGAAAGUUUCGGCGGUUGGGGAUGGACUCGCGGCUUAUCAGCUUGUUGGUGGGGUAGUGGCUCACCAAGGCUUUGACGGGUAGCCGGCCUGAGAGGGUGACCGGCCACAUUGGGACUGAGAUACGGCCCAGACUCCUACGGGAGGCAGCAGUGGGGAAUAUUGCACAAUGGGCGGAAGCCUGAUGCAGCAACGCCGCGUGCGGGAUGACGGCCUUCGGGUUGUAAACCGCUUUCGCCUGUGACGAAGCGUGAGUGACGGUAAUGGGUAAAGAAGCACCGGCUAACUACGUG